UGUGCAGCAGUUGGCCAAUUUCUUUACCACUAUUAAGAAGAGCGAUUGCCUUCUUAUUAACCUUCUAAUUCUAAGUACCUGGGAGACCUGAGGGUAAUUUUGAUCCAUCAUCCUGACUGCAACCCUGGCAUAAAGCAAGCACUGGGGUACGGCAUCGGGCGAGCGAGCUGGGACAGCUCAGCAAGCGCUGUCUGCUGUGACCAUGCUUGUGCCACAAGUUGGGACGGGCUCUGGGCUGUGGGAGCUCAUCGCUGCACAGCAAUCCCAGUAGCUCUCGAUAAGGAGCCAUGGGAGAUGGGGAGAACGACAAACAUCUGGGACGUUUUGCAAGAAAUAGCACCCGUCUCUUAAUUUGACAUGCAGCCCUACUAGCGAGGCUGCGGCAGAUCAUGAGAAACGCCUUGUCCGUUGGUGGCGGAAAGAAAAAAAAUCCAUAAUGGAGUCUCAAGAACAGAAAACUGGAGAAAAGGGACAUAUCCAGCACGGUUAGGUAGGACUCCGAGGAGAUGGGUGAUCGCGGGAGCGGCAAGAUCCACAAGAGCAAAACCAAAACAGCCAGCGGCAGAGGGAAAGCCCUUUCCUUCUGCGUACAGCACCAGGAGCAGAGAAACCAGGGAGCAGCAGCACGUUGGGGUUUUAUGGCUGUAUUAUUUAUUUAAUAUGUGCUUUCACUUCUCCAGCUCAGAUGAAAUCCAAGAGGGUCAGUCCUCCGGCUUUCCAGGAACAGCUUUAGCUGAUACAAACUGAAGCCCCGGCACAGAGCUGUGCUCUUGCAGGGUCCUAUGCAGCCGAGUGGGAUUUUUUUGGGUUACAACACAGCAUUCCUACAUGGAUGAAGGCAAUCCAGUGGGAAUGAUAAGCACAGCUGGGUGCUCCAACUCUCUGCACUUGCUUCAGACAUCCUAGCAAGAGAGCUGUGGUCUGAAGAGAAGAAACCAAACCAGUCUGGUGGAUGAGCCGUUUGCUAAGGGUUUUUACUGGGUGCUAAGUGGGCUAGGGCUUUACCAAUAAACAGGAGCCCCAGCCUAUGAUCACCCACGGCAGGCUCUGAAUCUGUGAUUGAGGCCCAUUCAAAAGCACACCAAUCUGACUGGAAACCUUUUUUUAAAACAAAUCUUGGGUCAUUAAGUGACUUAUUACACACAUUAGCCAAUGGCCGGGUUGGGGUGAGAGGAAAGGCUAAUGAGAGCUGCUGUUACUGUUUACUAUUAUCUGCACGUUUCAGUUGCUGGUUUGCCCUGGGAAAGAUUAUUCACGCAGGCUGCUUAGCAAAAGGCUGGCCAGACAAUGUCUAUAAUUUUAAUCUUCUUUUUAAUUUUGGUGCCUUGGUGUAAUGGUGCAAUUAGCACUUUCCCAUCUGGGCUCCUCUCAGGCGCAAGACGCGGUGAAGCUGGGCCGCAUCUGCUACACCCCUCUACGUCACCUUAAAAUUAAAUGUGUUACCAAACUUGCACUGCAAAGCGGAGAGGGGUGUGAUGGAUAAUGCUACUGGUUAUUGCAUUUAUUCCAUGCCGUGAGCUGGGCCGUGCAAAGGGGCUGGAGGAAGGGUCAGAGCUUGGGCUUGGUCCCUCAUCCCCUUCCCCUGCCAUCGGCACUAAGCCUGGCUUUGCAAGGGGGCAAAGCCUCACUCCAGUAGCCCAGGCUGCUCAGUCUAAGCCAGGGCAAUUACUAACUUAGUCUUUGUUUUUCAUGCAGGUGCAAGCAAAUAGCUACCCAGACUAAAACCAGCCAGAGAAAAGUUACGUCAAUGAAUUGAUGCAAAUCCCCUUCGGCUUAGGCAAGAUCCUGAGCUGCUCUUCCACAGGGAUGUGUUUUAAAUCAAAAUUGCCAGGGUGAACCUAAGCGUCGUUCAUCCAAAGAGUUGGGCCCUCACUUCAACAGUGUUAGGUUAGUCUUAAAGCUCAUUUAACGUAAGAAAAUAGCUCAAAAUUUCUAGGAGCAAACAGCUCUGGUAGAAAUAACUUACCUAGGUGGGGGAUCAGUACUUGAGCAUACCUCGGUAGCAGGAGAACAAGAGGGCUUUUAAAAAAAGUUACAAAACUGCCGAUGUUUUCCCUUGUUUAAUGUAAGAGGUUUGGUUUUUCUUAUGGCAAGACAGAUCAUACAGUGCAAAAACUAUUAGUAAAUGAUCUGGUGCCAAGCUCCAGUGGGUAGGUCAAUAAUGUCCUGGUGCUCAGCACAUCUGUACGCUCACUAAACUCUCCUGUGCCUUGGGGACCCAUUUCGCUGCUGCGGUGGCACUUCUAUUAGUGGCAGUUCGUGGUUUGCUGGAUUAGCUGAAACCUCAAACACACACCUCCACAGUAAUUGAACAAGAUCUAUACUUAUCCCCUUACAAGGUCUCAUUUAACCUGUAUGUGGGCAGAAAGGCAGCUGUUAAUGUGACGUGGUUCUCUCUACUGGUAAUUUUUUGGCAACACUGGGAAAGAAACCAAUGAAAUAGUAUAUUUAUGUUUAAAAAAAAUAAAUUGAUGUUCAUAUGUUGGCAGCUACUUCUCUCCCAUAUGUACUGCCACAUCAUUUUUUGGAAGCAGCCCCAGCGAGCGAGGUCUAGUGAGGCUGGAGCCGGGGCGAUGCCUCGGUAACAAGCUCUUCCCACCUCCAAAACCCCAAAUUACUCUUGUCUUUCAGUCUUUGAGCACCUAAGCUGGUUAUAGCGGGAUCUCGCUGUCAAUUAAAGCACAUAGCAUCCCUGCGGAUAAGUGAUAACCAUUUAAUAGCAUGGCUAAAAUAAGCAUCCAGGGGUUGAUCCUUGUUUUAUCCAGCAUGGAUAUCCCCUGCAAGGAGCUAUGCUGCCCGCCUGCCUUCAUGUAGCUUCUUGUGGGACUUCUAGUAUGGCUUUAAUUUAGCAAAACCAAGAAGAUAACAAAGAGGGAAUGCGGAUAACUUCAGGGCAGCUCUUGUUUUGUUUUGAGCUGCUUUCAAUAUUGCUUCACAUUUGGUUUUUUCCUUGGAGCAUGCAUACAGUUUCUGCCAGCAAGUAAAAGAGAAUUUCUCACUAGGGCUCUAUCCUUUUCCCCUUGAGAGGGAUUUAGCUGAUACCUACUGAAACGGAUUGAUUAUCUGGUACAAAUAGCCUUUUCACCCUGACGAUCUGCAGUCUGUAUCAAAGGCAGAGGAAAUCUCCCGAAUCACCGGGUCAGAGCAGCCCUGUGCUCGUCCUGGGGGAUGGCUUGCUGUUCCGCAGCAGCCUACGCUCAAUCUGUCCCUCGGGAAACAAACAAACAAAUCCCAAACCUGAUUUAAUAAAUACAGUUCUGUGGGUAUUUUGAACCACCUCAUGGAAAUGAGGAGGAUAUUAUGUUAACAAACAGCUGUAAAAACUUUUAUCCCUGCCAUGAAGUUUGCCACAGAAUGGCCCCAAAUCUCUGGAGGAAGAUCUUACCAUUAAACAAAUCCCUACGAGCUUUAGUGGAGGAUCAGUUACCCCCACUUGGUUUCAUCCUCACAUUUUAUAAGGCUAUUCCACUGGGGAAGAGACAGAUUUUUUUUCCCAGCUGGAAAGAGUAUAUGGGGUUUUGACCAAUGUAACGAUAGGAUUGGGUAUACAACCAUGCACUAAACUCCUGAUAACACUUUGGCAGGAUGCUGACUUAUACACACUCAUGCUGAACCGAGAGCUAUUUUGCAUGCAGUAUUGAAUCAGAUCAGAAAAUGUUCCCAUGAACAAGAAUAUUGAUGUUUAGAUCAAAGAGAAUUAAAAGAAAGGGAUUUCCUCUUGGAUUAAAUUUAUGACAUUUCUCUAAAGCACUGCACAAAUCAGGACAUGAGACACUCAUGUGUCGUGUCAUAAAGUAUAAUUGGGCUAUUGAGCUGCUUGCUUGGAGGGCAAAGGAGUAGCUUGAGAAAAAUGAAGAAGAGGGACCCCCACAGAGUGAUGAAUUACAGUAAGAAAUUUAUAUGAUAUCACUAGUGAGAAAACUAUUUACAAAAAUGUCAGCAAAAAAUUAUUGAACAUAAUAAGUCAAGUCUUGAGGUAAAAGACUUGUCCUGAAAUACUGGUGGUAUCAAAGAUAAGUAUUAAAUAGCUUUUUCGAAGUCCCUGCUCCUGCUUCAAAUGAUGACAGUCAAACACUGGAAUAGAUAUUUUGGAAAUGGAGGAAAGGAAGACAAACAAAUGCAUGUACUCUGUUAGUAAUAAUGUUGACAAAAAGGUUAAGCUCCCCCAGCCUCAGAGGAGGAACAGAGCCAAGAAAAUAUAACUGUUUAGCUUAAAUGAGGAAUGUAACUGAGGUGUAUAUAAUACUAUAUUACAUAUUAUAUAUAUAAUGUACAUAUAAUGAUAAGGAUGAAUAAAACAUGGUGAGAAUAGACUUCAUGUCUCUUAAUGCAUGAGCCGAGGGACACCCACUGAUGCUGAAAGACUAAACUCCCAGUGGAUAAAAGGGAAUGAGUGUGUACACAGAGCUCAAAUUAACCUCCUAGCUCCAGCCAUGGGAUGUCACUGAGAUCAAGGGCUUUGUGGGAGGUCCAAAGCGGACACGGCACUGCUAUGGCUGAUAACAUCAAAGUCAUGUUAGGCUUUUAAAAAAACAAAAGUUUAAAAAAUGGCUGGGUCUAUGUCCUGGAGUGUAAUUGUAGAAAUUCUGUAAUGCACCAACACAAGACCCUUUCCCUUUAUCGCCAGGAGCCUGGACGAGGAUCGAUGGUUUGAUCCUAUGUGAGCAGCCUGUUGCUGAACAGUAAUGGUCGUGGGACCCUCAAAGGCUGGUCCAAAGGCUAUGUCAGGAGGCUGGGGAGAUAUAAAAAUAUACAUGCAUGUGCCUGUGUAUGUGUGUUUUGCAGCUGCUCCUUAUUUAAACUAGGGAGAGGCAUUACAGUCCCAGAGCAAAAAUGCUUCUACUUAUGCCAGUGGCAAGGAAAGGACUGUAUUUCCCAAGUCAAGUUCGAGAAAAGUCCUUUUAACAGGUUUGUGAUGCUGCCUUGUUGAAAACUUUUUUUUCUUUCUUUUGUUUUACAAAAGCCCAACACUCAUCAAAACAUGAAAGAUGAAAUCAAAAAAUAAUGUAGACAGAGCCCAGAUCAGAACUGGAGUUGCUAAAUUCUCCAAAAUUCGGAGACACGCGAUUCCUACCUUGGACCUCCACAGCUCACGCUCACCUUUUACUUCAUUCUUAAGUUUUACUUGUCAACACUUCAGCAUGUGUGUGUGCUGUUGUGAUUAUUCAUUAGCUGGUUUAGCUUGUUGUUUACUGCCACAGAAAGGUUUAGAGAUUUACUAACAGCAUAGUUUAAAGUCUCUGUUUUUCACCACCUUUACAAAUGAAUAGCUUGGAAAGAUUUCACUCCUCUCCUUAGAGAGAGUCAGCGUAAAGAGGAUUUAAAAAUAUAUAAAUAUAAAAAUAUGUAACUUUAAAGCCCCUUUAGAGCUUACCAAUAAACACAUAAAAAAAUUCCUAAGUCUUUACUGUUAAGAGGGAAGGUACCAGUAGGGAUUAGUUAUUUUUGGUCUCUUCUCGUUCCAAGAUCCUUCCCAGUUUUGCUAAGGUUUGCAGUUUUCACGUCAUAAAGUCUAGACAUCCCCGUUGUUAACUUCCUUCCCCUGCUAUCAAAAUUCCAGACCGCUCGUCCAGUGAGUGCCAUCUGAUUUUGGGGAGUUAGGAAGGGCAGAUCGCUCAGCCUGGCGCUCAUCAUCUGGCGGCUUUGCUCCUAAUUUUGGCUCUGAUGUGUGACAUCAAAAUUAACUUUAUUAUGCCCAUUUAUAAAAUAAUUGUGGCUGCUGGGAAUGCUCUGUGGGAAUCACAUCCCCUAACAUCCCUAAACAGAAUCUCCUAUUGCCAUCGCAAGACCAAACACUGGGCUAUUUCUUGGAUCCAGCAUGGCGUUUUUUUAAGCAUCCUGUUAAGAGCAUACUUGCAGGGAAUGCUAAAAUUUUCUCUGAUUUUUCCUCUUGCAGCAGGAUCCCCAGCGUUGCAUGCUGCUGGUUGCUGCAUGUAUGAUGCUUGCAGCCUACCUCCUCUGCGUGCUCAAGUGCACGGGCUGCUCCAGGAAUAGCUCUUUGUUUACACGUCUUUCCUUUCCAAAUCCCACUGAAUUGUCUUUGGCUCCACACCAAGCUACACAGGCCUGUUCCUCCUCUAUUCCAGGGAUAAAGCUUGGUCCGUGCAUGGGGUAUUUGAAGGGAAGAGUAAUUUCUGUGCACCCAAGAGCAUCUCCUGCGCCAGGAGAACUGACACCGGUCUCACGGCUUCGGCCACGGCAUGGUAGCGGAGGGACCAUUGGCAUCAGAAAGAUCUUGAUCAAUAAAUCCUUCCCAUUAUGCCUCAACUCCUUCAUCUCGACCCAUUUGAUGAAGAGCCAUCCACUAGAGAGCAGUGUCACCCAGCCCUUGGUGCCUAAACGCCAGCCCAUCACCCCAAACCCAGAUCAGGAGGGACACAGCCCACAAACUGCACCUUGCAGAUGGGUUCCCACCUUGCAGGGGAUGGGACGCUGUCUCAUUCAUCCCUGGUGCGCUGAAGGGAUGAGAUGUCACUGUGCCAUCAGAUGUCCUACUCGUGGCACAGCCCUCGGCUCUUCUGCUGAGUACGUUACACGGGCUGAGUUAUGUGAGAGCUGGCGGUGGCUUUGAAGACCUUGAAGACCCAGAUCCAGCUCUAAACACACCUAAGCAUCCUAAUGUUCAAAAGAAUGUGUGCGCGGAGGAAGGAAUCUGAUGUUUUGGGUGCAGCAUCUCUUUGGGGAGAAACAGAGCGCAGAAGAGAAUGGAGAACAGAAGAAAGAGAGAAGAGUCUCUGUUUGGGUCUGGCUGGAUUAACUUACUUUGACAUCUUCCAAAAUGCCUCUAAUUCCAACCUAGAGCAUCUUUCUGAGGAAGGGAAAUAAAGGACAGAAAUUUUCUUUGCAUUAAGCAUUUUGGCAAUGCAAUAUUUAGUCCCUUUCUAAGGCUGAUGUACCUCAAUCUUGUGCUAGCGCAGAGGAGAAGGGAAACCAAGGGGAAGGAAAGUCAGGCAGCUCGGGCAAAAACUGCAGGCAAGGACUGGCUUCUGCACUGUCUUUCAUGGACACAUGGGCUGGGGAUGUGCAAAGACUGCAUUGAUUUUGGAAGGCGAGGAGAAAAAUAUCACUAUACAAAAAGGAACCAGACACAUUGAACAAGUUAUUGAAAUGAAUUUAAAAGGG